rnacentral:rRNA from 1 species
CAGCCAGACUCCUACGGGAGGCAGCAGUGGGGAAUAUUGGGCAAUGGGCGCAAGCCUGACCCAGCAACGCCGCGUGAAGGAAGAAGGCUUUCGGGUUGUAAACUUCUUUUCUCGGGGACGAAGAAAGUGACGGUACCUGAGGAAUAAGCCACGGCUAACUACGUGCCAACAGCCGCGGUAAUACGUAGGUGGCAAGCGUUAUCCGGAUUUAUUGGGUGUAAAGGGCGUGUAGCCGGGCUGACAAGUCAGAUGUGAAAUCCGGGGGCUCAACCCCCGAACUGCAUUUGAAACUGUUGGUCCUGAGUAUCGGAGAGGCAGGCGGAAUUCCUAGUGUAGCGGUGAAAUGCGUAGAUAUUAGGAGGAACACCAGUGGCGAAGGCGGCCUGCUGGACGACAACUGACGGUGAGGCGCGAAAGCGUGGGGAGCAAACAGGAUUAGAUACCCGUGUACG